AAGUACCAUGUAGGGUCAUGCAACAGGGAAGCUCCACUUGAAUCACUGUAGAGGACUUUCUGGACACCAAACUAUUAGGUUUUUUUCUGUCCUUCUGUCAGAUAUUCAGUUCCCUCUGCUCCAUACCCCUAAAAGCUGCCCAAAGAAGGAUUUUUCUUUAUUUUUUUUUUCCAGCAUAUUGCAGCAAUUUGAGGAACUGGUAGCCCCUGUGACAGAGCCCUACAGAAAUGUGACCAAAAAAAGGUAUCUCUGCCCUGAGCCAUUUCAAAUGGCUCUGCAAGUCAGGACCACUGAGGAGUCAAAUAUGCUGCACAGAACUUGAAGAUGGUGUUGGUCCAUACCCAGCAGGGAGAAUCUCAGUGUCCUGCAGCCACUACAAGAUGUCCAUCUCCAUGGUAAGU
rnacentral:lncRNA from 1 species